rnacentral:pre_miRNA from 1 species
GCAGACCUAGGACACACUGGAAAGAUUACAUCUCUUGGGUGGCCUAGGAAUGCCU